rnacentral:rRNA from 1 species
AUCUACGGCCAUGCUACCCUGAACAAACUCAAUCCCGUCUGAUCUCGGAAGCUAAGCAGGGUCGGGCCUAGUUAGUACUUCGAUGGGAGACCAGCUAGGAAUACCAGGUGCUGUAGGCA